AGAGUUUGAUCCUAGCUCAGGAUGAACGCUGGCGACGUGAUUAAGGCAUGCAAGUCGAACGGUCCCGCAGCAAUGCGGGAUAGUGGCAGACGGGUGAGUAACACAUUGGAACCUACCUCCGAGACGGGUAUAGCCGCGCGAAAGCGUGGAUAAUUCCCGAUGGUCCCCGGUUGCGCAAGCAAUCGUGGUAAAGUCGCAAGACACUCGGAGAGGGGCCUAUGUUCUAUCAGCUUGUUGGUGAGGUAAUGGCUCACCAAGGCAAUGACGGAUAGCGGGUGUGAGAGCACGACCCGCCUCACGGGGACUGAGACACUGCCCCGACUCCUACGGGAGGCUGCAGUCAUGAAUAUUCCUCAAUGGCCGAAAGGCUGAAGGAGCGACGUCGCGUGAUUGAUGAAGUCCUUCGGGAUGUAAAGAUCUUUUCUUAGGGACGAAUUUUGACGGUACCUAAGGAAUAAGAGGUUGCUAACUCUGUGCCAGCAGCAGCGGUAAUACAGAGACCUCAAGCGUUAUCCGGAUUUAUUGGGCGUAAAGCGUCCGCAGGUGGUUUGUUAAGUUUCGUUUCAAAUCCAAGUGCUUAACAUUUGGACCGGACGGAAAACUAACAAGCUAGAGGACGGGAGAGGCAAGCGGAAUGGCCGGUGUAGGGGUAAAAUCCGUUAAUAUCGGCUAGAACACCAAAGGCGAAGGCAGCUUGCUAGAACGUUCCUGACACUAAUGGACGAAAGCGUGGGUAGCGAACAGGAUUAGAUACCCUGGUAGUCCACGCCGUAAACGAUGGUUACUAGUCAUUGGUAGUAUCGACCCUAUCAGUGACGCUUCUAAAAUAGCUAACGCGUUAAGUAACCCGCCUGGGUAGUACGGCCGCAAGGCUAAAACUCAAAGGAAUAGACGGGGACCCGCACAAGCGGUGGAGCAUGUGGUUUAAUUCGAUGAUAAGCGAGGAACCUCACCAAGGCUUGACAUUAUGCCUAUGUUUUUCUGGAAACAGGAAAACUUAGUGGCAUGACAGGUGCUGCAUGGUUGUCGUCAGCAUGUGCUGUGAAGUGCACCCUUAACUGGGGUAACAUGCGCAACCCUCAUCUGGUGUUAAAUGUACACCCGAAACUGCCCCCUCACUAACUUUUGAUAAUUAAUCGAAAGUUGUUGAGGGGGAGGAAGGAGAGGAUGACGUCAAAUCAGCAUGGCUCUUACACCUUGGGCUACACGCGUGAUACAAUGGGAAGGAACAAUGGGUCGCUAAGCGGUAACGCGGAGCCAAUCCCAACAAAACUUCCCUCAGUUCGGAUUGAGGGCUGCAACUCGCCCUCAUGAAGCCGGAAUCGCUAGUAAACGCGUAUCAGCCAUGGCGCGUUGAAUACGUUCUCGGGUCUUGUACUCACUGCCCGUCAAGUCAAGGAAGUUGGCAAUGCCUGAACAUCGGUUGUACCGGUGUAGGGCAGGGCUAAUAACAGGGACUAAGUCGUAACAAGGCAUCCGUAGCGGAAGCUGUGGAUG
rnacentral:rRNA from 1 species